CAUGUCUUCUAUUUUAUGGCGGAAUGAAAAGUAUAAGGUUUUCCUAAUGGCAAAAAUGUAUUAGGCUAAACUUAUACUUUUUCAUUUGAAGCCUGGAGUGAAAAAAAAACAUGGCGAUCGGGACUUGUGGAGAUAAUCAUCUCACGCGAUGGUUCAUAAGAUUAUGUUAAACAGUAUCCGUUGAAGAGAUUGCAAGUUAAGUCAGGCUUUCAUACAAGAGGACUCGGCUAAAAAAGACCCCUGAGGAACUCGCACGGAACAGGCACGACAUGAGGACAGGCACAAUGGGGAAUCGAAACAGAAAAAGCAACGGCCAAGAAUCUAUAUAGCGCAGCAUACCUAUUCCGUCGAGACAAGAUGUUAUGCCAAAAUAUUUCAUGAGCUGCCAAUAAAAAUGCUAGUAAUGACAAAAU